UACGUAGGGGGCUAGCGUUGUCCGGAAUCAUUGGGCGUAAAGAGCGUGUAGGCGGUCCGGUAAGUCCGCUGUGAAAGUCGGGGGCUCAACCCUCGAAUGCCGGUGGAUACUGUCGGGCUAGAGUGCGGAAGAGGCGAGUGGAAUUCCUGGUUGUAGCGGUGAAAUGCGCAGAUAUCAGGAGGAACACCUAUUGCGAAGGCAGCUCGCUGGGACGUAACUGACGCUGAGACGCGAAAGCGUGGGGAGCAAACGGG
rnacentral:rRNA from 1 species